UCAUAACUAAUUAAUAAAGUCCAUAAAUAGCUUUGGCCAUUCCCAUUCGAGAGUGGAAUGGGAAUCGAAAUCCGAUUCCUAUAAAACAAACGGCAACUAUCAGAAUCAAUAAAUUUCAUUUCGAUUUCUUACUCUAAAAUGGGUGAACCAAACAUACCGUAAAAGGUAGGGAAUGACUGAUCUCCUCCUACAUCGCUUAGCACAUUCGAUAAACCUCGUCACAUAGGCACAUAAGUGGUGCUGGUGUAGUAGGGUCUAGGGUUAGAUCUAAAAAUAUGUAAAAUUUGUGAAGAGUUACGUCUCAAAAUAUUUUAAGAAGGAAUUAAAGCGAAAGGACCCUUUUAUGCCUUUUCUCUUUCACAAUUCUUCUUUGUCUGUUCAAAUUUUUGAGUUUCUUUGCUCCACCCAUUAUGGUCUAUGGAGUAUGGACUCACCCCGCUAAUAG
rnacentral:lncRNA from 1 species